GCUGGGCAUAGUGGCGCUCGCCUGUAAUCCCAGUGGCUCAGGAGGCCGAGACAGGAGGAUUGCGAGUUCAAAGCCAGCCUCAGCAAUGGUUAAACAACUGAGUGAGACCCUGUCUCUA
rnacentral:sRNA from 1 species